rnacentral:rRNA from 1 species
UACGGGGGGAGCAAGCGUUGUUCGGAUUUACUGGCGUAAAGGGCGCGAGUAGGCGGCCAGCACAAGUCAGUUGUGAAAUCUCCGAGCUUAACUCGGAACGGUCAACUGAUACUGUGCGGCUAGAGUGCGGAAGGGGCAACUGGAAUUCUUGGUGUAGCGGUGAAAUGCGUAGAUAUCAAGAGGAACACCUGCGGCGAAGGCGGGUUGCUGGGCCGACACUGACGGCUGGAGGCGCGGAAAGCCCAGGGGGAGCGAACGGG